UCCUUGCACUUACUUGGCUGGCUCCUGGUCUUCAUUCAGUUCUCUGCUCAAAUAUCAGCCAUGCCGUCUCUGCACACUAUCUAAGACAACUCUCUCCCCCCAGUGUUGCUCCUCAGAGGGUGAAAACUUGGGUGUGUACAGAACCACCCUGGAAUGACAGCAGGUUUAGCAAGCUGAAUGAGGCCUGUAUCCUACAAAGAAGAAAUGGGAGACUUGUACCCAGGAGGUACAAGGUCAAAACCUCUAAGCCAUGACUCUGCAUGCUGGGAAGGGUGAGAGCCUCUCCUCUUCUCAGCUUGUCUCUUCCAGGGUACAGCCUCAACCCCAUCAGUGAGUUGGGAUGAAGGUGAUCACAUUCCAGGGUUCUUGUUCCAUGCCUGGGUUAGAGCCCUGUCUUCUAAGUGGUAGCUGAGUUUCAGAAGAGACCCCAACCUCUCAGCCACACUCACAAGGAAUCUAGCCUCUUUAACAGACCUGGAGGGGAUAAGAAAUGCUCUCCUGGAAACAGAAGCACAGAGAGCUCCAGUUACUUAUCCAAAGUCACACAGGAAGCAAGUUACUGAAUAACUGAGCUGAGAUGUAAAGUCUAGAGCCUGAAGCCUGCUACCUCUGAAGAUGUGUAGGAAGUGCUAAGGGCUCAGGGAGCUGGGGUCCUAAAUCAACUCUCCAACUUUAUCUUUAUCCCUGGUUGCAUCAAAGUGGCCAUAAUUAACUCCUUACUGUUUCCAUAUUCACCACAUUCUUUGUACCUCUGACUGGAAUGCCCUUGCCUUCUUGCCCACCUAACAAUUAAAAUAAUAACAUUGUUGAACAUCUGUUGUAUAUGCUGUGACUGUUUUGUGUGCUUGAUAUGUAUUUGCUCCUUAAUCUUCAAUGACCACCUCUUGAGUUGGGUAUUAUUAUUAUGACUAUUAUUAUGAUUAUUAUUCUUAUCCAUUAAAAGGUAUGCUAUAGGGA
ensembl:lncRNA